rnacentral:rRNA from 1 species
AUUGAACGCUGGCGGCAUGCUUUACACAUGCAAGUCGAACGGCAGCGCGGGGCAACCUGGCGGCGAGUGGCGAACGGGUGAGUAAUAUAUCGGAACGUACCCAAGAGUGGGGGAUAACGUAGCGAAAGUUACGCUAAUACCGCAUACGAUCUAUGGAUGAAAGCGGGGGAUCUUCGGACCUCGUGCUCCUGGAGCGGCCGAUAUCUGAUUAGCUAGUUGGUGAGGUAAAGGCUCACCAAGGCGACGAUCAGUAGCUGGUCUGAGAGGACGACCAGCCACACUGGGACUGAGACACGGCCCAGACUCCUACGGGAGACAGCAGUGGGGAAUUUUGGACAAUGGGCGCAAGCCUGAUCCAGCAAUGCCGCGUGAGUGAAGAAGGCCUUCGGGUUGUAAAGCUCUUUUGUCAGGGAAGAAACGGUUGGGGCUAAUAUCCCCGGCUAAUGACGGUACCGGAAGAAUAAGCACUGGCUAACUACGUGCCAGCCGCCGCGGUAA